UGAUACCCCGAAAAUUUCUAAAAUCUUGAAUGAUUAGAAUAAAGGUUAAAGAAUAAAACCUAGAUGAGAAUUUGAGGAUUUAUUUAAAAAUUUUCAAGUAAAACCUAUAUGGUUUGCUAUUCGAAUAAGAAUAGAGGAAAUAUGGGUUACAAAAUUCCAAAACCCUAGAAAUGAAUUAAUAUGUACUUGAAGGAAUAUUAAGAAUAAGGUAUUACGAUACCUUUAAAUUCGAUGUGAACGGAAUAGUCUAAAAAAAUGUUAUAUAAGUACAUAUGGAAAUUUUAUUAUUGGAGAUAAGAUUUCACAUGAAGAGAUGCUAUGAGGUUAAACGAAGAUGAGUAUAUGUAUAGAAAUAUAUAUACUUAGUAAGGUGCUAUAUAUAUUUUAGCAAGAGGAAUGAUGAAUUAAGUUAAUGAUAUAAUGAUCAAG
rnacentral:lncRNA from 1 species